rnacentral:rRNA from 1 species
GUGCCAGCCGCCGCGGUAAUACAGAGGUCCCAAGCGUUGUUCGGAUUCACUGGGCGUAAAGGGUGCGUAGGUGGCGAAGUAAGUUGGAUGUGAAAGCUCCGAGCUUAACUCGGAAAUGGCAUUCAAAACUACUUUGCUAGAGGGUUGGAAGGGGGACUGGAAUUCUCGGUGUAGCAGUGAAAUGCGUAGAUAUCGAGAGGAACACCAGUGGCGAAGGCGAGUCCCUGGACAACUCCUGACACUGAGGCACGAAAGCUAGGGGAGCAAACAGGAUUAGAAACCCUAGUAGUCC